GUUCUUGUCUUGUUAUUUUGAGUUGUAAUUUCGAGACUUAGUUUCUAGUUGAGAGCUAUUUGUGUUCUGUAGUUGUAAUAUUGAUUGAAGUUCAUUCUUAUAUUUGGUGGUUCAUGGUUUUAAUCAUUUGUUUGCAUUUCUGUGCAUGAAGUUAUCUGCAGCUUGAGCCAUUAUUGUGUGAAUAAUUGUUGCACUUUUAUUGACUCGAACCAUGCUCGAACUUAGAAAUUUACAAUAAUAGGUUCGGCAGUCAACUUAAAUUGAUCAUGUGAAUUGAACAUGUAUCUUAAUUAGUGUAUCAUUGAUAAUAUUGUGGAACCAUUUGUUCAAGCAUUAUGUCAUUCUUUUGUAUAUAGCUUCCAGCUACACAACUGGAGUUGAAGUGAUGUACAUGUAGCUGUACAGGCUGUUCUUUAACUUUAUCCAGGGGUCCGUUGAAGACCGUCUGUCAUGGAUCGGUUGUAAAUUCUGUCAAGGACCGUCCAUUAACCGUCUGUAGAGUCCGUUAGACUCUAGGUUCAUCGAAUAAAAGUUCAUCAGAGAGACAUCGCAGAACUGUGUCGUUGUCCGUUAGUUGUUGUAUCUUGAUCUCGAACCCUGCGUUCUAACGAAUGCUAAACUAAAUCCGCUGCGAGGAUUAUACGACAUUA